ensembl:snRNA U6 U6 spliceosomal RNA
GUGCUUGCUUCAGCAGAAUUUAUACUAAAAUUGGAAGAUUAGCAUGACCUCUGCACAAGGAUGAUAUACAAAUUCAUGAAAUGUUGACUAUUAAA